rnacentral:rRNA from 1 species
AUCUGCUUGCAGAUAUGGGGUUGUAGGGUCUGGCAUAUGGAAGUUACAAAACAGUCAGUUAGCGGAAAGGUGUGGGAUAGCCUGCCAUAGAGGGUAACAGCCCCGUAUGCGAAAACUGAUUGUCUUCCGCUAGAUACCUGAGUACUACCGGGCACGCUAAUCCGGUAGGAAUCUGGGGAGUCCACUCUCCAAGGCUAAAUACAUUUGGCGACCGAUAGUGAACAAGUACCGUGAGGGAAAGGUGAAAAGUCCCCCUGUUAGGGGAGUGAAAUAGAACCUGAAACCGAAAGCCUACAAACAGUUGGAGGGCUAACAGUGAGUUGAGCACUCUAGAAAUAGAGACGUUCCUCACUAUGCCUGACAGCGUGCCUCUUGGAGAAUGAGCCUGCGAGUUAAUCUCAGUGGCAAGGUUAAGGGAGUAACACCCGUAGCCGUAGCGAAAGCGAGUCUGAAUAGGGCGUACAGUCGCUGGGAUUAGGCCCGAAACCGAGUGAGCUACCCAUGGGCAGGGUGAAGCGAGUCUAACCACUCGUGGAGGCCCGAACUUACUAAUGUUGCAAAAUUAGAAGAUGACCUGUGGGUAGAGGUGAUAUGCCAAACGAACUCGGAGAUAGCUGGUUCUCCCCGAAAUAGCUUUAGGGCUAGCGUCGUGCGUUUAGUACUGGAGGUACAGCACUGAAUGGGCUAAGGGGCUUACCGCUUACUGAACCCAAUCAAACUCGGAAUGCCAGUACUCCAUAGCAUGGCAGUCGGACUACGGGAGAUGAGUUUCGUGGUCGAAAGGGAAACAGCCCAGAUCAUCAGCUAAGGUCCUUAAAUCUACACUAAGUGGGAAACGAGGUGAGGUUACUUGAACAACCAGGAGGUUGGCUUAGAAGCAGCCACCCUUUAAAAAGUGCGUAACAGCUUACUGGUCUAGUGACCUUGCGCGGAAAACUUAACGGGGCUAAGUGUAGUACCGAAGCUAUGGGUCUCAGCAUUUGCUGGGGCAGUAGGGGAGCGUUCCAUCAGCGGUGAAGGUCGAUCGAUAAGGGCGACUGGAGCGGAUGGAAGUGAGAAUGCAGGCAUGAGUAGCGUAUAAACACGUGAGAACCGUGUUCGCCGUAAAUCUAAGGUUUCCGACGCCAGGUCAUUCCGCGUCGGGUUAGUCGGGUCCUUAGCCGAGGCCGAGAGGCGUAGGUGAUGGACAUCCGGUCAACAUUCCGGAACCACUCUGAAUGAGUGAUGAGGGGACGCAACGAGGUAGGCCAGCCACCGAUUGGUUGUGGUGGUGCGAUCCGUCUAGGCGUUGAGACUGGUAGGAAAAUCCGCCAGUUGAGCUGAGGCGAGAGCGAGCCGUAAGGCAUAAGUGGUUGAGCCUUGUUGCCGAGAAAAGCCUCUAAACGUUGAAUUCUGAGUGCCCGUACCGCAAUCCGACACUGGUAGAUGGGUAGAGUAUACCAAGGCGAACGGGAGAACCCUUGUUAAGGAACUAGGCAACAUGACCCCGUAACUUCGGGAGAAGGGGUACCUUCUAGCGUCAGGGUAACCAAAGCGCUGGAAGGUCGCAGUGAAAUGGCUCUGGCGACUGUUUAACAAAAACACAGGUCUCUGCUAAGCCGUAAGGCGAUGUAUAGGGGCUGACGCGUGCCCAGUGCCGGAAGGUUAAGGAGAGAGGUUAGCGCAAGCGAAGCUUUGAACCGAAGCCCCGGUGAACGGCGGCCGUAACUAUAACGGUCCUAAGGUAGCGAAAUUCCUUGUCGGGUAAGUUCCGACCCGCACGAACCGCGUAACGAUCAGAGCACUGUCUCAACAAGGGACCCGGUGAAGUUGAAAUGGCUGUGAAGAUGCGGCCUACCCGCAGCAGGACAAAAAGACCCCGUGGAGCUUUACUGCAACUUGGCAUUGUGUUUGGGUAUGAUUUGUGUAGAAUAGGUGGGAGGCUUUGAAGCUGGGGCGCUAGCCUCGGUGGAGCCAUCAGUGAAAUACCACCCUGAUUAUGCUUAGACCCUAACCCCGCACCGUCAUCCGGGCGGGGAACCGUGCCAGGUGGGCAGUUUGACUGGGGCGGUCGCCUCCUAAAAGGUAACGGAGGCGCCCAAAGGUUCCCUCAG